UCCAUCGUGGUGCAGUGGUAGCACGCAGUGUUUCCGGCGUCCCGCGAAAUCAUGGCCCUUCCAUUCCGGGUGGUUGGGAGAAGAUAUGGUGCUUCAAUGGAGCUGAGACCCGAGUGCGAUUCUCGGCGGGGGCA